GACGUAGGGAGCGAGCGUUGUCCGGAAUUACUGGGCGUAAAGAGCUCGUAGGCGGGACCGUAAGUCCGAGAGGAAAUCUCAAGGCUCAACUUUGGGGCUUUCUUGGAUACUGCGGUUCUUGAGGAUAUCAGAGGAUAGUAGAAUUCCCGGUGUAGCGGUGAAAUGCGUAGAUAUCGGGAGGAAUACCAGUGGCGAAGGCGACUGUCUGGGAUAUUCCUGACGCUGAGGAGCGAAAGCGUGGGGAGCAAACGGG
rnacentral:rRNA from 1 species